UACAGAGGGUGCGAGCGUUGUUCGGAAUUACUGGGCGUAAAGCGCGCGUAGGCGGCUUUGUAAGUUAGAGGUGAAAGCCCGGAGCUCAACUCCGGAAUUGCCUUUAAGACUGCAUCGCUAGAAUCAUGGAGAGGUGAGUGGAAUUCCGAGUGUAGAGGUGAAAUUCGUAGAUAUUCGGAAGAACACCAGUGGCGAAGGCGACUCACUGGACAUGUAUUGACGCUGAGGUGCGAAAGCGUGGGGAGCAAACAGG
rnacentral:rRNA from 1 species